AAGACCGUACUUACUAGGAUCAUUUCUAUAGUACGCGUCCCGUCUUUGCAUCCCAACAAAGACAACACCAUCAACCGUGAUGACGAUGCGUAGCGUUCACCUCUGAGCGCGAAGCACGUCGCCGAUUUUGUCUUCACGGCAAUCGGUCGGCGACGAUUGAUGACCGUUCCCUUUACUCCAUUAGUGAGGACUGGGAGGAGGUGAUCGCAUUCAGAGCGGU